rnacentral:rRNA from 1 species
CAAUAGCGUAUAUUAAAGUUGUUGCAGUUAAAAAGCUCGUAGUUGAAUUUCUGGUGGGCGCGCCGGUCUUCCAAGUGUUGUACUGGGCGCAGUCCGCCAUCCUUGUGGAGAGGGCUCGCAUUGAGUUGCGUGUCGGAUCUGCAUCAUUUACUGUGAAAAAAUUAGAGUGUUUAAAGCAGGCUGUCGCUUGAAUACAUUAGCAUGGAAUAAUAAGAUAGGACUUCGGUCUAUUUUGUUGGUUGCAAACCGAGGUAAUGAUUAAUAGGGAUAGUUGGGGGUAUUCAUAUUUAAUUGUCAGAGGUGAAAUUCUUGGAUUUAUGAAAGAUGAACAACUGCGAAAGCAUUUACCAAGGAUGUUUUCAUUAA